CAAACUGCGGUGCUAGAAUUCAAACAUAGCACUGUCACUGCAGAAAUGGAGUUUGUGGUGGUGAAACUCCACUCUGACAAAAGGUUUGGUUUGGCAAGGGAAACUGUGGGUCACUCCGCCCACUGCAAACUCAAUUUCCCCGAGUUCGGAUGUUCAGUUUUGGAAACCAGAGGUGAAGAGACCUCCGGUUUCCUAUCUUGUCUGAUCUUGGCUGGAAAAAGAAGCUGCAUGGCAAAUGGAGUCUGCAGCAGAGAGGAGAGCAAAGAGCAGUCUGGGAGCAAUAAGGGUGGAAUGAUAGGCCCCAGAAUAUCAGUUUAUCAAUCAGAGAAAGCCAGAUCUGAGAGAGCGAGAGAGAGCCUUCCUCACUGUGUCACUGUCAUUACACCUAAUGCCCCUAUUGGUCAGUAGGACAAAAGGUGCCAAGAAUCAAAGCUCCUUGAGUUCCAUCUCCAACACACCUUUUCUCCUCCGGAGGUAGCAAGCUUCUAUAAUCUUUCAUUUAGGUGUCAUAUUUGAAGGACAUAAGUUUAAGCAGAGAGGGAAGCCACCUCAUGCUAUGUCAGUGAUGGAACUCUGUCUUCGUGCCACAGAGAAUGUAGGACGUUUGUGUGUUAAAGCACUGGCCCCUCUUUCCUUCAUAUGAGCAAACAGCCCGGAAGCUUUCUACGAUUUCUUCUUUGCUAAAAAACCUUCCACUUUGGCUCCAGGCUCAGAAUAGCAAUCUCACAUUGGCUUCUACUUAUGGAAAAAAUAUAUGAAAGCCUCUUCUGACAGCAUCUGACUCAGCCUGCAUGCAGAAGAUGAUGUGGUGGAAAAUGGGGGACUGAACUGAAUUGUCUGACCAGAAACUGCUUUAAGCUGGAGUGAAGCAAGCUAGUCUAGCAAGAAUGUUUUGUUUUGUUUUUUAACCUCUAGUUGUGUGCGUAUACACAUUGCAUGGGUGCAAAUGCAUUUAGCUCAUUAGCAACUGGGCAUGCUGACCCCAGGAGGAAAAUGAUGAAAAUAUCAGUGUGCAGAGAAACUGGUAGCGCCUGCUGUGAAACAUCCCUUGAAUAAUAAUCCACAGUUUGUGUAUGGCACCUGCCCUUGCCAUCAUGUCCUAUAUUCUUCUCCCAUAACAAAUCAACUUUUGUUGCAUUUCUUCCGAGUAUUUUCCAAAUAUUGUCCAGAGUAUUUUCUUCUGAAUAUCUACUGUAAUUAGAAUUGUGGCCCAUUUAAACUGUUUUUAGUGUUUUAA